GUGGGUCUAGCUAUAUAGGGUUAAUGGCUUGAUUUCCCCUCUAGGUAUGAUGAGUGGGUCUAGCUAUAUAGGGUUAAUGGCUUAAUUUCCCCUCUAGGUAUGAUGAGUGGGUCUAGCUAUAGGGUUAAUGGCUUAAUUUCCCCUCUAGGUAUGAUGAGUGGGUCUAGCUAUAUAGGGUUAAUGGCUUGAUUUCCCCUCUAGGUAUGAUGAGUGGGUCUAGCUAUAUAGGGUUAAUGGCUUAAUUUCCCCUCUAGGUAUGAUGAGUGGGUCUAGCUAUAGGGUUAAUGGCUUAAUUUCCCCUCUAGGUAUGAUGAGUGGGUCUAGCUAUAGGGUUAAUGGCUUAAUUUCCCCUCUAGGUAUGAUGAGUGGGUCUAGCUAUAGGGUUAAUGGCUUAAUUUCCCCUCUAGGUAUGAUGAGUGGGUCUAGCUAUAGGGUUAAUGGCU